CAAAAGCGAAGGUCUGCGCGCUGUUAUCCCCGGGAUGCUGCGCUCUUGGCCGGUCUGGAUUGCUUGUUGCAUCCUCCUGUCUUUCCAACGGCUUGAGAUUGCCUUUUUCUUCUUGUCUGGGACAAAAUUUUAAUACAAAAUGACCUAGAGUACUGCUUAAUGAAAGAAAAAGAAGAGGACCAGGAAACCAAAACGUGAUUCGCUUUAUUUCAAUAUCCAUUGUUGUAGUCUGGAAUUGAACCUGCAAUAUCUGAGGAUGCUGAGAUCAACACACAGCAGGCUUCCUGCAUUUCUUCAUGGUACAGAAGAGAGGCAUUCUGUCAGAUAUCACUGGAUGUGGGAACCAAACAUCAGGAAACUUUUCUCUCUCUUGCAGAAUAAAAUU